rnacentral:rRNA from 1 species
UACGUAGGGGGCAAGCGUUGUCCGGAUUUAUUGGGCGUAAAGAGCGUGUAGGCGGCUUUACAGGUCCGUUGUGAAAACUCGAGGCUCAACCUCGAGACGCCGGUGGAAACCGUAAAGCUAGAGUCCGGAAGAGGAGAGUGGAAUUCCUGGUGUAGCGGUGAAAUGCGCAGAUAUCAGGAGGAACACCCGUGGCGAAAGCGGCUCUCUGGGACGGUACUGACGCUGAGACGCGAAAGCGUGGGGAGCAAACAGGG